rnacentral:rRNA from 1 species
AACGUAGGACGCGAGCGUUAUCCGGAGUUACUGGGCGUAAAGCGCGGGCAGGCGGUGGUUCAAGUGGGAUGUGAAAGCGCUCGGCUUAACCGGGCGAGGCCAUUCCAAACUGGAUCACUGGAGGGCAGUAGAGGUGGGUAGAAUUCCGGGUGGAGUGGUGAAAUGCGUAGAGAUCCGGAGGAAUACCAGAGGCGAAGGCGGCCCACUGGGCUGCACCUGACGCUGAGCCGCGAAAGCCAGGGGAGCGAACGGG